rnacentral:rRNA from 1 species
CCUACGGGUGGCAGCAGUAGGGAAUCUUCCGCAAUGGACGAAAGUCUGACGGAGCAACGCCGCGUGAGCGAAGAAGGUCUUCGGAUCGUAAAGCUCUGUUGUCGGGGAAGAACAAGUACGGUAGGCAAUGGCCGUACCUUGACGGUACCCGACGAGAAAGCCACGGCUAACUACGUGCCAGCAGCUGCGGUAAUACGUAGGUGGCAAGCGUUGUCGGGAAUUAUUGGACGUAAAGCGCGCGCAGGCGGUCCUUUAAGUCUGAGGUGAAAUCUUGCGGCGCAACCGCAAGCGGUCAUUGGAAACUGGGGGACUUGAGUGCAGAAGAGGAAAGCGGAAUUCAACGUGUAGCGGUGAAAUGCGUAGAGAUGUGGAGGAACACCAGUGGCGAAGGCGGCUUUCUGGUCUGUAACUGACGCUGAGGCGCGAAAGCGUGGGGAGCAAACAGGAUUAGAUACCCGAGUAGUC